rnacentral:rRNA from 1 species
UACGUAGGCAGCGAGCGUUGUUCGGAGUUACUGGGCGUAAAGGGUGUGUAGGCGGUUGUUUAAGUUUGGUGUGAAAUCUCCCGGCUCAACUGGGAGGGUGCGCCGAAUACUGAAUGACUUGGAGUGCGGGAGAGGAAAGUGGAAUUCCUGGUGUAGCGGUGAAAUGCGUAGAUAUCAGGAGGAACACCAAUAGCGAAGGCAGCUCGCUGGGACGGUACUGACGCUAAGGCGCGAAAGCGUGGGGAGCGAACAGG